rnacentral:rRNA from 1 species
UGGGGAAUUUUUCGCAAUGGGCGCAAGCCUGACGAUGCAACGCCGCGUGGAGGAUGAGGGUCUUCGGAUUGUAAACUCCUGUCGACCGGGACGAAUGCACCCGACCUAAUACGUCGAAGUGUUGACGGUACCGGUGGAGGAAGCCACGGCUAACUCUGUGCCAGCAGCCGCGGUAAUACAGAGGUGGCAAGCGUUGUUCGGAAUUACUGGGCGUAAAGGGCGCGUAGGCGGCCUUAUAAGUCUCGUGUGAAAGCCCUCGGCUUAACCGGGGAACUGCGUCUGAUACUGGAUGGCUUGAGGUUGGGAGAGGGAUGCGGAAUUCCAGGUGUAGCGGUGAAAUGCGUAGAUAUCUGGAGGAACACCGGUGGCGAAGGCGACAUCCUGGACCAAUUCUGACGCUGAGGAGCGAAAGCCAGGGGAGCAAACGGGAUUAGAUACCCCUGUAGUCCCUGAGCGGGCUGGCAAGGCGCAU